rnacentral:rRNA from 1 species
CCCUUAGAUGUUCUGGGCCGCACACGCGCUACACUGGCAGGUUCAUCGAGCUUCAUGCCCUGAUCUGAGAAGAACGGGAAAUCUUUGAACACCUGCCGUGCUUGGGAUAGAUGUUUGCAAUUAUUCAUCUUCAACGAGGAUUGCCUUGUAAGCGCACGUCAUCAGCGUGCAUUGAAUACGACCCUGUAUUCUGUACACACCGCCCGUCGCUCCUACCGAUUGAAGUUUUCGGUGAAUUUACUGGAGAUCCCUUUUGAAGGUGGCUCGCCACUGGAAGAAGUAUUCAAAAGUAAAUGAAUCGAAUGCUUUAGAGGAAGGAGAAGUCGUAACA